rnacentral:rRNA from 1 species
UGGGGAAUAUUGGGCAAUGGGGGAAACCCUGACCCAGCAACGCCGCGUGAGGGAAGAAGGCUUUCGGGUUGUAAACCUCUGUCCUUGGGGACGAAGUAAGUGACGGUACCCAAGGAGGAAGCUCCGGCUAACUACGUGCCAGCAGCCGCGGUAAUACGUAGGGAGCAAGCGUUGUCCGGAAUUACUGGGCGUAAAGGGUGCGUAGGCGGCCUGGUAAGUCAGAUGUGAAAUACCCGUGCUUAACAUGGGGGGUGCAUCUGAUACUGUCAGGCUUGAGUGCAGGAGAGGAAAGCGGAAUUCCUA